UAGGGAAUCUUCCACAAUGGGCGCAAGCCUGAUGGAGCAACACCGCGUGAGUGAAGAAGGGUUUCGGCUCGUAAAGCUCUGUUGUUAAAGAAGAACACGUAUGAGAGUAACUGUUCAUGCGUUGACGGUAUUUAACCAGAAAGUCACGGCUAACUACGUGCCAGCAGCCGCGGUAAUACGUAGGUGGCAAGCGUUAUCCGGAUUUAUUGGGCGUAAAGAGAGUGCAGGCGGUUUUCUAAGUCUGAUGUGAAAGCCUUCGGCUUAACCGGAGAAGUGCAUCGGAAACUGGAUAACUUGAGUGCAGAAGAGGGUAGUGGAACUCCAUGUGUAGCGGUGGAAUGCGUAGAUAUAUGGAAGAACACCAGUGGCGAAGGCGGCUACCUGGUCUGCAACUGACGCUGAGACUCGAAAGCAUGGGUAGCGAACAGGAUUAGAUACCCUGGUAGUCCAUGCCGUAAACGAUGAGUGCUAGGUGUUGGAGGGUUUCCGCCCUUCAGUGCCGGAGCUAACGCAUUAAGCACUCCGCCUGGGGAGUACGACCGCAAGGUU
rnacentral:rRNA from 1 species